CCUACGGGAGGCAGCAGUCGAGAAUCAUUCACAAUGGGGGAAACCCUGAUGGUGCGACGCCGCGUGGGGGAAUGAAGGUCUUCGGAUUGUAAACCCCUGUCAUGUGGGAGCAAAUUAAAAAGAUAGUACCACAAGAGGAAGAGACGGCUAACUCUGUGCCAGCAGCCGCGGUAAUACAGAGGUUUCAAGCGUUGUUCGGAAUCACUGGGCGUAAAGCGUGCGUAGGCUGUUUCGUAAGUCGUGUGUGAAAGGCGCGGGCUCAACCCGCGGACGGCACAUGAUACUGCGAGACUAGAGUAAUGGAGGGGGAACCGGAAUUCUCGGUGUAGCAGUGAAAUGCGGAGAUAUCGAGAGGAACACUCGUGGCGAAGGCGGGUUCCUGGACAUUAACUGACGCUGAGGCACGAAGGCCAGGGGAGCGAAAGGGAUUAGAUACCCGGGUAGUC
rnacentral:rRNA from 1 species